rnacentral:rRNA from 1 species
UACGUAGGGUGCGAGCGUUGUCCGGAAUUAUUGGGCGUAAAGAGCUCGUAGGCGGUUUGUUGCGUCGGCUGUGAAAUCCCGAGGCUCAAUCUCGGGUCUGCAGUCGAUACGAGCAAACUAGAGUGUUGCAGGGGAGACUGGAAUUCCUGGUGUAGCGGUGAAAUGCGCAGAUAUCAGGAGGAACACCGGUGGCGAAGGCGGGUCUCUGGGCAACAACUGACGCUGAGGAGCGAAAGCGUGGGGAGCGAACAGG